AGUAAUCGCGGAUCAGCAUGCCGCGGUGAAUACCGUUCCCGGGUCUUGUACACACCGCCCGUCACACCAUGGGAGCUGGUAACACCCGAAGUCAGUAGUCUAACCGCAAGGAGGACGCUGCCGAAGGUGGGAUUAGCGACUGGGUGAAGUCGUAACAAGGUAGC
rnacentral:rRNA from 1 species